GAUGAACGCUGGCGGCGUGCCUAAUACAUGCAAGUCGAGCGAACAGAUGAGGAGCUUGCUCCUCUGACGUUAGCGGCGGACGGGUGAGUAACACGUGGAUAACCUACCUAUAAGACUGGGAUAACUUCGGGAAACCGGAGCUAAUACCGUAUAAUCUCUUGAACCGCAUGGUUCAAUAGUGAAAGACGGUUUUGCUGUCACUUAUAGAUGGAUCCGCGCCGCAUUAGCUAGUUGGUAAGGUAACGGCUUACCAAGGCAACGAUGCGUAGCCGACCUGAGAGGGUGAUCGGCCACACUGGAACUGAGACACGGUCCAGACUCCUACGGGAGGCAGCAGUAGGGAAUCUUCCGCAAUGGGCGAAAGCCUGACGGAGCAACGCCGCGUGAGUGAUGAAGGUCUUCGGAUCGUAAAACUCUGUUAUUAGGGAAGAACAAAUGUGUAAGUAACUAUGCACGUCUUGACGGUACCUAAUCAGAAAGCCACGGCUAACUACGUG
rnacentral:rRNA from 1 species